CNACCUGCCGAUAACUCGGGGAUAGCCUUUCGAAAGAAAGAUUAAUAUCCGAUAGUAUAUUANNNCCGCAUGGUUUUACUAUUAAAGAAUUUCGGUUAUCGAUGGGGAUGCGUUCCAUUAGUUUGUUGGCGGGGUAACGGCCCACCAAGACUACGAUGGAUAGGGGUUCUGAGAGGAAGGUCCCCCACAUUGGAACUGAGACACGGUCCAAACUCCUACGGGAGGCAGCAGUGAGGAAUAUUGGUCAAUGGACGAGAGUCUGAACCAGCCAAGUAGCGUGAAGGAUGACUGCCCUAUGGGUUGUAAACUUCUUUUAUAUGGGAACAAAGUUUUCCACGUGUGGAAUUUUGUAUGUACCAUAUGAAUAAGGAUCGGCUAACUCCGUGCCAGCAGCCGCGGUAAUACGGAGGAUCCGAGCGUUAUCCGGAUUUAUUGGGUUUAAAGGGAGCGUAGGUGGAUUGUUAAGUCAGUUGUGAAAGUUUGCGGCUCAACCGUAAAAUUGCAGUUGAAACUGGCAGUCUUGAGUACAGUAGAGGCGGGCGGAAUUCGUGGUGUAGCGGUGAAAUGCUUAGAUAUCACGAAGAACUCCGAUUG
rnacentral:rRNA from 1 species